GCGGAGAAAGAAGACUCGUUUAUGGUUGUUCUACAGCCGCUGCUGACGUCCAUCAGCUCUGUCCUGCUCCCAGCUGCAGAUAGGCCUGGAUUUCAAUGAGUCGUGUCCCAACUCCGGUGUGAACGAUUUCCCGACGUCAAGACGAAGUGGGGUCAAGUCAUGGGUGUUGCAAGGAAGCUAUCACAAGAUGAUCCGGUAUUGAGCGGCUACAGUACAACCAAGAGAACGAAAUGUACGUCGCAAUCAAGCUAUGUCGUUGCCAUCUUCUAUGUGCCAUGCGUUACCUGAUGUGCCAGCCUGCUAUGUCGGAUACCGCUAACCAUGCACCGACUAGGCGCCAGGCGCGAACUGAUGGUGGUGGUGGUGGUGAGAAGGAGAGCUCUGUGCCAGAAUAACUUUGCAGUUUAGAGAGGGUGUCUGGGCAGGCGUGUAUUUACCCCCAUAUUGCCAGGUGUGUAUUUACCACCAUAUGAACCAACCAUAAGUGCAGUUGCAGUGGAGUCUUCAACUUCAUUCUCCCGAGUCAAGCUCCUUGUGAAGACAUCUAAGAAGAAGAUUGCGUGAUGAGUCCAGCCGGGACGAAAGGUACGUCGCAAUCAAGCUAUGUUGUUGCUGUGUCAUCUGCUAUGCGCCAUACGCUACCUGAUGUACCAGCCUGCUAUGUCGGACACCACUCACCCUGCAUCGACUAGGCGCCAGACGCGAACUGAUGAUGGUGGUGGUGGCGGGAAGGAGAGCUCUGUGCCAGAAUAACUUUUCAGUUUAGAAAGCGUGUGUAGGCAGGUGUGUAUUUACCGCCGUAUGAAUCAACCACAGUACGAUCAGCUGACAUUAUAACUUAUAAGGAUGAUCUCGUGCAGCGAUAUUAUUGAUAUUUUUUAAGUCUUUUCUAAGGACUCUCCACUGCAGCGUUUUCUUUCCACUCGGUUCUCUUCUUUUCAUCGCUCAGCUUGCACUUACAAUGCUUAUACAUACUGAUCAAUCCCGUUCAAUUUUCCGUACAUUUUUCUCAAAAUCCAUAGCGCGGACGAAGUAGUGAUUUUCCGUACAAAUAUGGAAAAUACGGAAGGUUGA